GAUCCUGGCUCAGGAUGAACGCUAGCUACAGGCUUAACACAUGCAAGUCGAGGGGCAGCGGGAUUGAAGCUUGCUUCAAUUGCCGGCGACCGGCGCACGGGUGAGUAACGCGUAUCCAACCUUCCGUACACUCAGGGAUAGCCUUUCGAAAGAAAGAUUAAUACCUGAUGGUAUGAUGAGAUUGCAUGAUAACCCGAUUAAAGAUUUAUCGGUAACGGAUGGGGAUGCGUUCCAUUAG
rnacentral:rRNA from 1 species